UUUCUCCAGAGCCAUUGUUUCCAGGAGAACAGUUGAUCAAGUGCCAAAUGCUGGAGGGCUGUUCACUUUCCGAUGGAGUUUGAUUGCAGCGAUCAACAUAAAUUCAUCAAUUCAUUUCAGGAGCCUAGUUACUACUGUUAACACAAUUAAAUGAGGCAACACAGGAAACGUUAAGUAUGGAAAGUCAAAAGAACUCAACUUGGAAGGGAGAACCGGAUUUCCACCUUAGCCUGAGAUUAUAUGUUGGUGACAGGAAAUAAAAUGAACUCCUUAAGAAUUUGAGAUGAGAGAUGCUGAAGUGGAUCCAUGCAAGCCACCAAGCAAUUGAGUCAAUUGAGGCAAAAGAUGUCCUUUCCUGGCCAAACAUGAGCAAUAAAACCAAGACAACAUCAGCCAGUGCAGUGCUCAUCACGAAUGCCAACCUAAGCAAGUCAGAGAGCCACUGAAUGACACAUGACAUCCCAGGCUGACCAUGGUUAUCGCUGGGAAUAGAUUUCUUUGCAUUUGCCAGAACGGAUUAUCUUGUCAUCAUAGACUAUUAUUCCAAAUAUUGGAAGAUGGAUCAGCUGAUAUCAAUGACAACUACAGAGAUUAUCAAAUACCAAAAGUAAAACACAGCCAUUAUGGAAUUCCUGACAUUGUGAUGAGCAACAAUGGCCCUCUGUUCACAAGUGAAGAAUUCAACCCCUUCAUAAAUCUCAUUUUCAUAAGACUGCCAACUAUUGCCAGAAUUGAACAUGACGGAGCGGAUGAGGCACAAACCUUCAAUGAUCUCAACAAAUGAUCUCAACUGACAUACCAAUUUGGGACUUGAAUAAAGCAAUUGCCAUCUUGAUAGUAUGUGAUUGAAAUGAAUGACCAGAUGUACCAUUGCAAUUACAGGCUUAUAACCAAACUGGAGAAGCUAUUCUUUCAUUACAGGUGACUGAUCAGAACGAGAUGAAUUAACCAUGUGCAGAGCACCUAGAUUAGCUAGCAGAUCCAGAAGAUACACAACAACUAACAGUGGAAAUGGAACAAUAGCAGCAGAUACCUCACAACAGCCAACGACAUAAGAAUAAUACUCACUAGGGAAGACCAUGAAUCAAAUUUCCAGUGUAAUUAACAAGGAUGUAUCCUCCACAUGAAAGAAAACAUGCAAAUUCGGUUCACCAGAAUGGUGCAAAAUGUUGAAAAUAUCAUCUCAGCACUAUUUUCAUUGUUUUACUGUUUUAAAGUAAAAAGUGUACUUAUGCCUUCAUACAGAGCUGUUACUGCUUCAAAUCCACCAAACACAAGUUGGAUUAGAUACCCAGUCAAGUUCAUUUUCUUUUUAUUUUGGUUGAAUUGUAAACUUAACAGAUAAAAGCCAUAAUACACAAGAUUGGUAUCACAUUUUGUUUUAGCGAGAGAUGUUUAUCCAAAAUGUUAUGGAAAUUAGCUUUGUUGGAAAUAAUCAAUAUUUCAAACACCAUCCAAAUCACCUUUAAGAAAAGAUGUUAUACAAAAAUAUUUUUAAAAAGAUCAUAUGGACUAAUAAAACUUUAUGUUGAACCUUUAAACAAAGGACACUUUGUGAAAGAGAAGGCAGAGGUAACAAUAAUAUCAACUUUGUAGCUGAAAGGAACAGAUAGCUUGGAUGUCUUCUUACUUUGGAAAACAUUUUUUUAAAAAAGGCCUAGUUUGUGGGUUGAAUAAAACUGUUAUAGUUUGAACUCAGAAAAUUUGAGGGGGAAGAAAAAGCAAACUUCUGGAGAAACUCCGCCAGUCUAGCAACAUCUGUGGAGAGAAAGCAGAGUUAACAUUUCCAGUCCAGUGACUCUUCAAGAGAUUCUUUUGUUUCAGAUCUUCAGCAUCCGUAGUUCUUGCUUACUUUGGAGAAAUGUUAAGGCCUGUCUGAGAAGUAAUAGUCCAUUGUAGCCUUUGUCUGCAAUACCUCUCAGGAAAAUAUGAGUUGAAAGCCCACCUGAAAUCAGUUUAAUCAUUCAUGGAGAAUUUCUAGUGAUUUGUUUUUGGAAUCUACUCACUGUCUCCAGCAAAAGGAUUUCAGCCAGCUGCAACUGUUCCAAGGAAACACCAGUACCAGAAGUUUGUGGAUGCAGAACAACUUCAAACACGGACUACCAUUUAGGACAAUGAGUGACUUAUCCUUUUAUAAUGAGAGUAAAAUUUACUUGACCAAAAUACUUUAAAUAACUGGCGGAAUUUUCAUUUUUUAUUUGUUUUUUUUAAACCAGGCUUGACUAUGUUUGUAUGUUAGUUUCCUUUUCUUUUAAAUAAAGGUAUGUAAAAUCAAACCUAUUU